CCUACGGGUGGCAGCAGUGGGGAAUAUUGCACAAUGGGGGAAACCCUGAUGCAGCGACGCCGCGUGAGUGAAGGAGUAUUUCGGUACGUAAAGCUCUGUCAGCAGGGAAGAAAAUGACGGUACCUGACUAAGAAGCCCCGGCUAACUACGUGCCAGCAGCCGCGGUAAUACGUAGGGGGCAAGCGUUAUCCGGAUUUACUGGGUGUAAGGGGAGCGUAGACGGCAGGGCAAGCCUGUAGUGAAAUCCCAUGGCUUAACCAUGGAACUGCUUUGGAAACUGUGCAGCUGGAGUGCAGGAGAGGUAAGCGGAAUUCCUAGUGUAGCGGUGAAAUGCGUAGAUAUAAGGAGGACAAC
rnacentral:rRNA from 1 species